rnacentral:lncRNA from 1 species
GGCGCCUACUUCGACUAUUGGAACCACGGGCUCUUUCUGCCUCUGCAGAAGAGAAAUCCCCUUUAGUCCCGAGAAGGAUCCAAAGACAUCAAUCCUAACUAGAAGUAAGGUGUCCGACUCAUAUCAGUGCAAAGGAAUAGUGAUGUUUCUUUAUUAAUAACGCUCACACUCGAGCAAGGAUGAUACAAAAAAUAAAAAAUUACAAAGAGGACAGGAGAAAGCCUAAGAAG